rnacentral:rRNA from 1 species
GACGAACGCUGGCGGCGUGCUUAACACAUGCAAGUCGAACGGAAAGGCCCUGCUUUUGUGGGGUGCUCGAGUGGCGAACGGGUGAGUAACACGUGAGUAACCUGCCCUUGACUUUGGGAUAACUUCAGGAAACUGGGGCUAAUACCGGGUAGGAGCUCCUGCUGCAUGGUGGGGGUUGGAAAGUUUCGGCGGUUGGGGAUGGACUCGCGGCUUAUCAGCUUGUUGGUGGGGUAGUGGCUUACCAAGGCUUUGACGGGUAGCCGGCCUGAGAGGGUGACCGGCCACAUUGGGACUGAGAUACGGCCCAGACUCCUACGGGAGGCAGCAGUGGGGAAUAUUGCACAAUGGGCGGAAGCCUGAUGCAGCAACGCCGCGUGCGGGAUGACGGCCUUCGGGUUGUAAACCGCUUUCGCCUGUGACGAAGCGUGAGUGACGGUAAUGGGUAAAGAAGCAACGGCUAACUACGUG